UGCCUCAACGCACAAAUUAACGGAAGAUUUAAAGAAAAAACGUUUUUAUACAAAAGAAAACGAAUCCGUUUGAUUGAAUUGAGGAAAAUGAAGGGGUUUGUUGUUAGUCUAAACAGAAGCGCCUGCAAAUCAAUUAUUUUAUGAUAUAUCGUGGUCAUCAGGGAAAUCCUAUAAGAACCAUAACCCCCUGUAUUAAAAGGGACUCAAUGGCUGAUGGGAGCUCAGUUCAGUACUUUAUUGAGCGCUUCUCUGUAACUUGCAACUGGCCAGUGUCCCAUGUCCAGCUGGCAUGCUGCUCUUCUCAUUGUGCUGUUCCAUGGCAGGACAAGAACAUACGGGUUUACACCACCAACAACCUGGAGCAUCCUUUGGAACUCACCGGUCACCAUGGUAAUGUCUCUGCCAUGGUGUUGGGAACAGUGAAAGAUCGUUUGAUUCUGUGCAGUGCUUCAGAAGAGUAUGUGAUUGUCUGGGACAUAAAUCGAUGCUACAGACAAGUCAAAGAGGGUGUAAUUGCUUCAGGCAGAGUGGUCGGCACAUUGCUCGGCAGGGUUGUGCAUCUGUCCCUGUGUCCGCAGACCUCUAAAGUGGCCGCAUGCUCAGGCUCCAGAGUGUUUGUCUUGAAUGCAGAGAGGGAGGAAGUGCUCGCUGUGUUAAAGGCUCAUCUCGGUCCUGUGACUACCUCCGAGUUCUGUCCUUGGGACUUCAAUCUUCUCAUCUCAAUCUCAGAGGACCGAACAUUUAAGGUUUGGGAUGUGAAGAAGGGUGAUGUACUCUUUCAGUCUGCUGUGCUAUCAGCAUCUCCGCUGCUUAGUCUGUUCUUCAUGGAGCAAAACAGACAGCUCAUCACAGGGUCUGGUGAUGGACAGCUUUGGUGCCACACUCUCCCAGCGGACCACAAAUGUCGCUUGGUGACAAAACUGGACCUUUCUAAGCUUGAACAGAAGCUGGAAAACCUCAGGAUCAUUAACUUACCUCCAAAUGGAAGAGACGGAAUAACACAUAAUGACGUGAGAGGAACAGUGGAGACGGCAAAGCCUGUUCUGAGAAUCUGGGCUCAGGGACCAAAGUAUGGCCAUGCUAGCAUGCAUCAGAGAGGAAGUUGUGUGUGGAUUGGAAGUUCUGAUGGCCUGUAUCUGCUUGACCUGGAUACUUCAGAGCUCCUCAUUACUCUUCCGUUCAAAGGUGACCUGAGCAUAUCAAUGGCAGGGUCGCUGGCCAUCUCCCAUGGAUGUGCUGAGAAUAUAUUAUGUUUGCUGAGCUCUCUGUUUGAGUCUUCAGUUGUCCUGACGGAGGUUAAUAAUGCUCAGCUGGAUGAUCUGUUGAAAGGCUUUUCUUUGGAAGAGCAACUUUCAGUGGUGCCUAGCUCCCCUCUGGUGCCCGAGUCCCCUCUAAAUGCUGAGUUGACAAAACUAGGCCUGAAACCCAAGAAAAAAAAAGGUGGGAGCUGUCAGAAGAGCGUGAAGAAUCAGCCAUUGGUUUUUCACACGCAAGUGAAAUCAUCAGGAUACAAUGCAGCUCCUUGCAGGACCAUGUUUAAACCACAAACCAACAUUAAGAAAAAAAAAAACACUUCUUCCAAAACUAGCACGAACAAGAAAAGCCUCUUAGCAGAGUAUCCAUCACAAUGUGAAGCACCGAGUAUGUGUUCUAUUCAACUUUCAGUUUCAACAACUCAAACCACAGUCAGCUCUCUGCAGUAUUCAGGGGAUGGAAAGCACAUUUUGUGUGGUCUUGGAGACAGUUCUGUAUUAUUGUAUAACUCUUCACUCACCGGCGAUCCAGCUGUCUACACAGCAGGACACGGUAAGACGGUGAACUGUGUGUUCUGGAGUCAUAGUAAGCAGUGGUUUUUGAGUUCUUCUGAGGACCCCACCCUGUGCAUCUGGACUCCAAGUGUUGCUGAACCUGUUCUGACCAUGGGAUGUGACCAGUUUGCAAAGCCCAUCAGAGGUGCUCAGUUUUAUUAUCUUGAUAAGUUUUUACUGCUGGCAUCGGGAUCAGAUCUACUGCUGUACCUUUACCAUCUGGACACCACGAGAGAUGACAUCAAGAGGUAUAAGGAUAGAAGCAAGUCUAAGCUGACCGGAAAAUUUUAUAUGAAGACAGGAACAGACAUCACCUCAAUUUCAGCGAUCAAUGACUUCUACUCCUAUAUUGUGUUGGCUGCUGGCGCUGACCGCACCAUCCAGGUGUUUGAUAUGAACCACGGCUGUGUGGCCACUCAGAUUCCAGACGCCCACAGUCGGGCUGUCCAUCACCUCGCCCAAAACAAGGGGUCCCUUUUCUGUUCACAGACCCCAGAAUCAUACAAUCUCUUCCUAAGCAGUGCUGUGACAGACGGUCUUAAAAUGUGGGACCUACGUAGUGCAAGAUGUGUCCGUCGCUACGAGAGCCACGUGAACCGUUGUCAUCAGUGCACCGCUACCUUCUCACCCUGCGGUCGCUUUAUAGCUACUGGCUCAGAGGACCAUUCUGCUUAUAUAUAUGAUACACGCAACAGCGGGUUUCUUCAUAAACUCCAGAGACAUUCCGAUACAGUUCUAAAUGUGCUGUUCAACCCUGCCAAUCCAGAGGAAUAACGGACACGCUCUCUCUCUAGGAGGCCGAAGAUAGAAGAAAUGGUACGCCGCCUCACGGAGGUAGCCGUCCGCCAGCAACAGUGUUUCGACCAGAUGGUGGCCAGACAAGAGCGAUCUGAUCAGGCACUGGAACAGCUACAGACGACCACACUGCAGAGUUCGCGGUCGGAACCCCGUCACCAAGCGUCCCUGCUGUUGACAAAAAUGAGCGCCCAGGAUGAAGUCGAAGCAUACCUGCACACGUUCGAGAGUCAAGCGAGUGAAGCGAGGAGGACUUUAUUGCACGAGCACGGACUGGCAGUUUCCUGAUUUCAAGCACCCGGGUUUUCACAUUGUGGAUUAUUGGUUCAAUAUUGUAAUAAAUUCCCCCUCCGGGGUUGAUUCAUCUGCCGUCUUGUGUCCGUUGUGUCUCUAGCCGGGCCACAGAUGUUUUACAGACCAGAUCAUAUGUUCUAAGCACUAUUCUGCUUUUCAAAUGUCUCCAAAAUGUCUUUCAAGAUAUUUGAAUUGUGUUGAUAAAGACAGGUAUGUGAGUGUCCUCAGAUCCCAGUCCAUAUUGUUGCAAAGACAGUUUUAUGUCACUCUUUAAAAUCUGACUGAACAGCAUCCAGUCUAUGACAAACCAGUGAGGUCAAUCUUGUUAUCUCGGUCUAUAUCCCUUCCAGGCACCAUGUGACAGUUGGUUUCUCUUCCCUGGGUGUCACUUGCGAGGCCUUGCUUCUGAUUUGUGCUUAUCACAAAAUCGAAAGACAUUCACUGUCAAUAGAAAUUCCCUGAGGUGACAGGAAUUCCAGUAAUCCAAGUUCCUAUUAAAUGGGGUCUCAUAACUAAAGCUAAUUCUCUUCAGGAGAGCACAAUUCAAAGAGCAGAACAUAAAAGUUUCAGAACAAUUUUAUUAGUGAAAAUAAAUAAAUGAAAACCAUCAACUUUGUUAGUUCAUCAUACGGACAACAGAUGUGUUGUUAUGAAAUGUACUGUUUUUACAUUGUGGUUUUAUGGCAAUGCUCGAUUAGAAAAUUGCCCGAGCUAUGCUGUCGAUUACAUAAACCAACACAGAAGAUGCAUUUUAGGAAGUAAUAACUGCAAACAAGCACGUAUUUGCAUAUAUAUGAUUCUUUUAUCAUCUUUUUAUCCAAGAUCCAGGAUGUUUUAUAACUGACGGUUUUUUUUCACAGCUGUUGACUGGAACACUAAAUGGAAUGCUGGCUUUGUUUCAUUCGGUCGACUCUUCGCUUCUGUCUUAAGCUUGGGAUCUAUGCACUACAACCCCAAAGGAUCGGUGCUUUCUCAUGUCUGCUCUCUGCCUAAUGAGAUUCUUACAUCAGCGAGAUUACUGUACUGACGUGCCACCUCUGUGGGACCUACAUCAUGGACAGGAUCUGUGAUUUCAUCGGUCCAGCGGCCAUUGAAAACCUACAGAUGUGACAACAUGCUCACGCCCUGAACCCUCGAGCCAAAGACGCACCCUCGGAGAAAAGUUCAAGUGAAUUUAUGUAGUUCAGCAACACGUUUGUAUGGUGACAAAGAUACGUUCAUAUAUUGAUGUGUAUAAUGUUUAAGCGCCUUCAUCUUGUAUAAGCGGAUUGAUUUGAUAUCAAAUGUUAAUAUGUUUUAUAAUGUGCAUGAACUCAUCCUGAUACUUUUUACCAGCAUGUAAAAUAAAACAGAUUUUCAGCAA